rnacentral:rRNA from 1 species
GGUUAAGCGACUAAGCGUACACGGUGGAUGCCCUGGCAGUCAGAGGCGAUGAAGGACGUGCUAAUCUGCGAUAAGCGUCGGUAAGGUGAUAUGAACCGUUAUAACCGGCGAUUUCCGAAUGGGGAAACCCAGUGUGUUUCGACACACUAUCAUUAACUGAAUCCAUAGGUUAAUGAGGCGAACCGGGGGAACUGAAACAUCUAAGUACCCCGAGGAAAAGAAAUCAACCGAGAUUCCCCCAGUAGCGGCGAGCGAACGGGGAGCAGCCCAGAGCCUGAAUCAGUGUGUGUGUUAGUGGAAGCGUCUGGAAAGGCGCGCGAUACAGGGUGACAGCCCCGUACACAAAAAUGCACAUGCUGUGAGCUCGAUGAGUAGGGCGGGACACGUGGUAUCCUGUCUGAAUAUGGGGGGACCAUCCUCCAAGGCUAAAUACUCCUGACUGACCGAUAGUGAACCAGUACCGUGAGGGAAAGGCGAAAAGAACCCCGGCGAGGGGAGUGAAAAAGAACCUGAAACCGUGUACGUACAAGCAGUGGGAGCACGCUUAGGCGUGUGACUGCGUACCUUUUGUAUAAUGGGUCAGCGACUUAUAUUCUGUAGCAAGGUUAACCGAAUAGGGGAGCCGAAGGGAAACCGAGUCUUAACUGGGCGUUAAGUUGCAGGGUAUAGACCCGAAACCCGGUGAUCUAGCCAUGGGCAGGUUGAAGGUUGGGUAACACUAACUGGAGGACCGAACCGACUAAUGUUGAAAAAUUAGCGGAUGACUUGUGGCUGGGGGUGAAAGGCCAAUCAAACCGGGAGAUAGCUGGUUCUCCCCGAAAGCUAUUUAGGUAGCGCCUCGUGAAUUCAUCUCCGGGGGUAGAGCACUGUUUCGGCAAGGGGGUCAUCCCGACUUACCAACCCGAUGCAAACUGCGAAUACCGGAGAAUGUUAUCACGGGAGACACACGGCGGGUGCUAACGUCCGUCGUGAAGAGGGAAACAACCCAGACCGCCAGCUAAGGUCCCAAAGUCAUGGUUAAGUGGGAAACGAUGUGGGAAGGCCCAGACAGCCAGGAUGUUGGCUUAGAAGCAGCCAUCAUUUAAAGAAAGCGUAAUAGCUCACUGGUCGAGUCGGCCUGCGCGGAAGAUGUAACGGGGCUAAACCAUGCACCGAAGCUGCGGCAGCGACGCUGAUGCGUUGUUGGGUAGGGGAGCGUUCUGUAAGCCUGUGAAGGUGUGCUGUGAGGCAUGCUGGAGGUAUCAGAAGUGCGAAUGCUGACAUAAGUAACGAUAAAGCGGGUGAAAAGCCCGCUCGCCGGAAGACCAAGGGUUCCUGUCCAACGUUAAUCGGGGCAGGGUGAGUCGACCCCUAAGGCGAGGCCGAAAGGCGUAGUCGAUGGGAAACAGGUUAAUAUUCCUGUACUUGGUGUUACUGCGAAGGGGGGACGGAGAAGGCUAUGUUGGCCGGGCGACGGUUGUCCCGGUUUAAGCGUGUAGGCUGGUUUUCCAGGCAAAUCCGGAAAAUCAAGGCUGAGGCGUGAUGACGAGGCACUACGGUGCUGAAGCAACAAAUGCCCUGCUUCCAGGAAAAGCCUCUAAGCAUCAGGUAACAUCAAAUCGUACCCCAAACCGACACAGGUGGUCAGGUAGAGAAUACCAAGGCGCUUGAGAGAACUCGGGUGAAGGAACUAGGCAAAAUGGUGCCGUAACUUCGGGAGAAGGCACGCUGAUAUGUAGGUGAGGUCCCUCGCGGAUGGAGCUGAAAUCAGUCGAAGAUACCAGCUGGCUGCAACUGUUUAUUAAAAACACAGCACUGUGCAAACACGAAAGUGGACGUAUACGGUGUGACGCCUGCCCGGUGCCGGAAGGUUAAUUGAUGGGGUUAGCGCAAGCGAAGCUCUUGAUCGAAGCCCCGGUAAACGGCGGCCGUAACUAUAACGGUCCUAAGGUAGCGAAAUUCCUUGUCGGGUAAGUUCCGACCUGCACGAAUGGCGUAAUGAUGGCCAGGCUGUCUCCACCCGAGACUCAGUGAAAUUGAACUCGCUGUGAAGAUGCAGUGUACCCGCGGCAAGACGGAAAGACCCCGUGAACCUUUACUAUAGCUUGACACUGAACAUUGAGCCUUGAUGUGUAGGAUAGGUGGGAGGCUUAGAAGUGUGGACGCCAGUCUGCAUGGAGCCGACCUUGAAAUACCACCCUUUAAUGUUUGAUGUUCUAACGUUGACCCGUAAUCCGGGUUGCGGACAGUGUCUGGUGGGUAGUUUGACUGGGGCGGUCUCCUCCUAAAGAGUAACGGAGGAGCACGAAGGUUGGCUAAUCCUGGUCGGACAUCAGGAGGUUAGUGCAAUGGCAUAAGCCAGCUUGACUGCGAGCGUGACGGCGCGAGCAGGUGCGAAAGCAGGUCAUAGUGAUCCGGUGGUUCUGAAUGGAAGGGCCAUCGCUCAACGGAUAAAAGGUACUCCGGGGAUAACAGGCUGAUACCGCCCAAGAGUUCAUAUCGACGGCGGUGUUUGGCACCUCGAUGUCGGCUCAUCACAUCCUGGGGCUGAAGUAGGUCCCAAGGGUAUGGCUGUUCGCCAUUUAAAGUGGUACGCGAGCUGGGUUUAGAACGUCGUGAGACAGUUCGGUCCCUAUCUGCCGUGGGCGCUGGAGAACUGAGGGGGGCUGCUCCUAGUACGAGAGGACCGGAGUGGACGCAUCACUGGUGUUCGGGUUGUCAUGCCAAUGGCACUGCCCGGUAGCUAAAUGCGGAAGAGAUAAGUGCUGAAAGCAUCUAAGCACGAAACUUGCCCCGAGAUGAGUUCUCCCUGACCCUUUAAGGGUCCUGAAGGAACGUUGAAGACGACGACGUUGAUAGGCCGGGUGUGUAAGCGCAGCGAUGCGUUGAGCUAACCGGUACUAAUGAACCGUGAGGCUUAACCUU